rnacentral:rRNA from 1 species
GACAGAGGGUGCAAACGUUGUUCGGAAUACUGGGCGUAAAGCGUGUGUAGGCGGUCUCUUAAGUCGGAUGUGAAAGCCCCGGGCUCAACCCGGGAAGUGCACUCGAAACUGGGAGGCUAGAGUACUGGAGAGGUUGGUGGAAUCUCGGUGUAGAGGUGAAAUUCGUAGAUAUCGAGAGGAACACCGGUGGCGAAGGCGGCCAACUGGACAGAUACUGACGCUGAGACACGAAGGCGUGGGGAGCAAACAGG